UUGACCUCGAAUCAGGUAGGAAUACCCGCUGAACUUAAGCAUAUCAAUAAGCGGAGGAAAAGAAACCAACAGGGAUUGCCCCAGUAACGGCGAGUGAAGCGGCAACAGCUCAAAUUUGAAAUCUGGCCCCUUGGGGCCCGAGUUGUAAUUUGCAGAGGAUACUUUUGGCGAGGCGCCUUCCGAGUUCCCUGGAACGGGACGCCAUAGAGGGUGAGAGCCCCGUCUGGUUGGAUGCCGAGCCUCUGUAAAGUUCCUUCGACGAGUCGAGUAGUUUGGGAAUGCUGCUCUAAAUGGGAGGUAUAUGUCUUCUAAAGCUAAAUAUAGGCCAGAGACCGAUAGCGCACAAGUAGAGUGAUCGAAAGAUGAAAAGCACUUUGGAAAGAGGGUUAAAAAGUACGUGAAAUUGUUGAAAGGGAAGCGCUUGUGACCAGACGUGGGCCUGUCGGAUCAUCCAGCGUUCUCGCUGGUGCACUCCGGCGGGCUCAGGCCAGCAUCAGCUCGUCCCGGGGGACAAAGGCAGCGGGAAUGUGGCUCCUUCGGGAGUGUUAUAGCCCGCUGUGUAAUGCCCUGGGGCGGGCUGAGGUUCGCGCAUCUGCAU
rnacentral:rRNA from 2 species